ACUCUCUGCCUCCAAGCACGAAAUUGUCCUGGCUCGGUGACACUGCAGAACUUGGACCCCAGUGGGACAGUAUGUUGGACUUUUUCUUUCCAACAACAUGCAUCAUCAGGGACAAUAAGGAGUUGGUGGCAUGUAAUAACCAGCCAUAUAUCAGCAAAACUGAAUGUUUAAGUUCCAAGUGCUGUUUUUCAUCAUCUGGGACUGAAAUCAAAUGCCAUGCCCCACUAAGGGAUAAGCCUACACAGAUGCUCCGGCUGUUUGGAUGUGUUAUGAUCAGCAUGGUAAUCCUGGGAUUUCUGCCUGUGUACUGCUGUUCCCUUUGCCGGAGGAGGAAGAAAAUGAACAGGAUAUUGAAGGUUUUGAAGAAACAGAAAGCAAAACUGAAGAAGGAGCCGAAAGGAAGGAUGGUGUCAGAAGAGAGAGCUUUAAUUUCUGGUUGAGAAUGCAGAUGCCAGAAGAGACUUCCUUAGUCAUCUAAAUCCAGUUUAGAAAGUCUAUUUUUCGUUGUACUUUCCAAUCAAAAUAAAGUUCUAUUGCAUACACC
rnacentral:lncRNA from 1 species